rnacentral:lncRNA from 1 species
CUCCAUUUCCUCAUCUGUGUAAUGAGUGGUACUAAGACUCCUCAUCAGGUGAUAGUGAACUUCAAGUGUGAACAUGUAUAGACAGCCCCAGGCUCUCUGUCCUGCAUGCAGUUGGUGCUCACUGUGCAGAAGUGAUUAUCCAACAGCUGUUAGCACAAUCUCUCCCUCAUCUUUGAAUGUGUGCAUCCCCUGCCUCAGGGCCCAGGAGAUUGACACAGAUGCCCACCUUUUCUGGAGUGAGUGGCUCCACUUUCUCAGUGUUCUGGCUGACAAGGCCUGUUCCAGUUGCCUCAUCUUGCCCUUGCUAGGGAGGACAAAGAAGGCCACGGCAUCUCCCUUGUAAUCCAUCUGCAGCACAAAGCAGUUCAGCUCUGUAUCCACCCCAAAAGCGAACUGCUCUUUCUGGUGCAUCAUGGGGACAUGCACAGUGACCUGCUCGCCCACCAGGAAUGGGAAGUUCUUUCUUGUAUAUUCAGGGUGAAAGGGCUUCUCCCACUUGGCUAGCACAAAGAGAGAAAAGAAGUCUUUAUGUCAAAGUACAAUUAGUGAGGCAAAGACAGCAAACUGAAAUGGG